AAAACAUCAAGAGGGUCUUGGUCUCAUUACAGCUCAGAAAACAGCGGUUAUCAAAGUGGGUUCUGCUGUAGUCACACCUCAGAACAUGCUGGAGCUGUGUGUACGUGGAGACGGAGAGUCUCUGCGGUCAAAGUAAAAGGGGUUAGAAUGGGGUCAGAGUGAGACAACCUGCUGUCCCCACUCACACAGCAACUCCUCAUUCAAGCAACAAGCUCACAUAUUGUGACUAAACCAUCUGACAGUAACUCCAGAGCUGGUCACAAGAGUCAUAAGAAUAGACAAG
rnacentral:lncRNA from 1 species